CGGAAAUGUAGACUACUAUGGCAUUAUCUGUGACCUGUAACGAUUGUCUCAGUAUAAGAGAUCAAGUUUAAAGUGAUUGCUAGUUAGAUUUCAAAUUUUUCUCACUAUUGAAUAUUAAGAUGAAGGUUCUCAUUGUGUGCUUGGCUCUCUGUGCAGGUAAGUUUAUUUCUUGUUUUGAUCAUAAGAGCUACGUUACUUUAGCUGUAAUCGUUCGAAAUAUAAAAAUGAAAAUUUGGCAUGAUUGACAAUCAGACAACUCUGCACUAUAGACCAAAUGACACAUCUAUAAACAAAUAUAGGUCACCGUAUUGCUGCAUAUUCUCACUUAUAUAUCAUUUUCUAAGUGGCAUGCGUUUCAUAAAGUUGGGAAAAUCUUUGCGAUUUCUUAAAUAAUAAUACUCAAGUAUCUCUGGACGUUGUCGUACAAAAUCCAGUUCAGAUUUUGAAAAGUGGGACGAAGUUCGAUCUCAAAUGGAAUAAGCUAUUUUUUCGUAUCAAUUUUCAAAGUAUCUCCUCAUAUACGUCAUAACUUGUACUUCCAUGGUUUCUAAAUAUAUUGGUUGAAUUGUACCGGAGUAACAUAAAUUCAUCGUUCUUUGAACACACCAAUUAUCUUAAAUAUCGUUCAUAUUUUAGCAAAAAUGCAGUGCAACUAAUUUUAGAGCAUUGAAGUUUAACCCAGAAAAUUGCAUUUUUCGCAUCUAAUUGAUAAAGUGUAAAUUGUAUGUAUGAUUAUAUUGUUAUAGUUGUUAUGUCUGAAAGAUGCCAACAGACAAAUGACUGCAAGUUAACACUGUGUUCUACAGGCGCCAGUAUUAUGUGUAUCCGUGGUGAAUGUACCUGCACGACUUCAUCUGGAUCUAGUAAGAUAUUUACAUUAAUUAACACCAAGAUAAUGUUAUUAAACACGAAUAAUUGGACACCCUGCACACAUUAUACUUUUCAAUAACAUUUAUAUCCGACUUUUGACAGCUGAUUUUCACAUCACUGACAGCACACUCCUAAUGUUUUGAAUCCUAUCAUUUGCAUUGACAAUAAUAUCUUGAUGUUGAUUAGAAACAUGAUAAUUUUAUUUCAUAUUUUGAUCUGUUAUGGUUUUUUUUCAGAUAAAAAAUUCAACUGUUUUAUUUGAUACGUAGCUUAAUCCCUAUGAUUUUAUAUUUUCGAUCUAUUUUAUUCCUUGGAGCAAUGAUUAUCUCAAAAAAUCAAAUGUAUUAGUAUUCAUGUAUUACGAAAACAGUUUAUGUAAAAUUAUAAUGUAUGAGUCACGAACUCAAAACGAUAGAAAAUUGCUACUUUAAAAUAUAAAAAGACUAGUAUUUUCAUAAUUCUCUGUGCAAGCAAAUACAUUUAUUAAUGAUACCACAACCAUUUCCAAAAAUAACCUUCUGUUACGUUGUCACAUAUGCCCUAACGUUACCUUGAGCUUGAUAUAGCAUACUAAAUAAAUGCUUUGCAUAUACAAAAAUAACUAUCGUUAGAAGUCAACUUUGCACUUUCGCUACUUUGCUUGUUCCAAAGCAUUGAUUAGUCAAAUGUCACGCCGAAAGAUACUUUUGGAAUGAAAUGUUAUUAAUAAAAAAGAAAAAAAAUCACAAAAAAAAAAUAUUUUCAUUUACAAACUUUUCAGUUAAAUCUACAACAUUCAAAUGAUGAAAUUAUCGGAUUUUUACUCGUCUUAUUGUUGAAGGCUGUACGGUGACCUAUAGUUGUUAAUGUCUGUCAUUUUGGUCUCUUGUGGAUAGUUGUCUCAUUGGCAAUCAUACCACAUCUUCUUUUUUUAUAUUACAUGUAAGAUAAUGAAACGUACUAUAUUGGUAUAAUCUCAAUGAACAAAUUCUGAUUUAUUUGAUGGAUCCAUAUAAAAGAAAUUGAGACGCUUAUAACCCUAGACCGGGACAUCCGACCAUUGUCACGAUUAAUCAAUGCAGUUGUCAAGCGAUAAUCACAACAACAGUUUCUUGUCAAUUUAUAUUUAUGUAUGCAUUGUUCAGAGAAGAAAUUGGUAAAACAAAUCUUAUCAUGUCCACUUACUAAUGAGCUUCGUUUUUUUUCAGCAUGCACCACAGCCCAAGACUGCCACGUGGAAUGCCACGACAGAGAUUCUCACUGUAUCGACGGACGUUGUCACUGCAGACAUGGCGGCAAUAGUCAAAAUUUUGGUCGAUAACUUUUUCACCUUAGCCAUUAAACAUAUUCAAUAGAUUAUCAAGAU
rnacentral:lncRNA from 1 species